AUCAGAAGUGCGAAUGCUGACAUAAGUAACGAUAAAGCGGGUGAAAAGCCCGCUCGCCGGAAGACCAAGGGUUCCUGUCCAACGUUAAUCGGGGCAGGGUGAGUCGACCCCUAAGGCGAGGCCGAAAGGCGUAGUCGAUGGGAAACGGGUUAAUAUUCCCGUACUUGGUGUUACUGCGAAGGGGGGACGGAGAAGGCUAUGUUGGCCGGGCGACGGUUGUCCCGGUUUAAGCGUGUAGGUGUGUGUUCCAGGUAAAUCCGGUUCACUUUAACACUGAGGCGUGACGACGAGGCACUACGGUGCUGAAGCAACAAAUGCCCUGCUUCCAGGAAAAGCCUCUAAGCCUCAGGUAACAUCAAAUCGUACCCCAAACCGACACAGGUGGUCAGGUAGAGAAUACCAAGGCGCUUGAGAGAACUCGGGUGAAGGAACUAGGCAAAAUGGUGCCGUAA
rnacentral:rRNA from 1 species